CCUACGGGAGGCAGCAGUGGGGGAUAUUGCACAAUGGGGGAAACCCUGAUGCAGCGACGCCGCGUGGGCGAAGAAGUAUUUCGGUAUGUAAAGCCCUAUCAGCAGGGAAGAAGAAAUGACGGUACCUGAGUAAGAAGCACCGGCUAAAUACGUGCCAGCAGCCGCGGUAAUACGUAUGGUGCAAGCGUUAUCCGGAUUUACUGGGUGGAAAGGGAGCGCAGGCGGCACUGCAAGCCCGAUGUGAAAGCCCGCGGCCCAAACGCGGGACCGCAGUGGAAACUACCGGCCUGGAGUGCCUGAGAGGUAGGCGGAAUGCGUGGUGUAGCGGUGAAAUGCGUAGAUA
rnacentral:rRNA from 1 species